rnacentral:rRNA from 1 species
UACGACUCACUAUAGGGCGAAUUGGGCCCGACGUCGCAUGCUCCCGGCCGCCAUGGCGGCCGCGGGAAUUCGAUUAGAGUUUGAUCAUGGCUCAGGACGAACGCUGGCGGCGUGCUUAACACAUGCAAGUCGAACGAUGAAGCUGGAGCUUGCUCCGGUGGAUUAGUGGCGAACGGGUGAGUAACACGUGAGCAAUCUGCCCUUGACUCUGGGAUAACUGCGGGAAACUGUAGCUAAUACCGGAUACUUUCCUCGGUGGGCAUCCACUGGGGAAGAAAGAAUUUCGGUCAAGGAUGAGCUCGCGACCUAUCAGCUAGUUGGUGAGGUAAUGGCUCACCAAGGCGACGACGGGUAGCCGGCCUGAGAGGGUGACCGGCCACACUGGGACUGAGACACGGCCCAGACUCCUACGGGAGGCAGCAGUGGGGAAUAUUGCACAAUGGGCGCAAGCCUGAUGCAGCAACGCCGCGUGAGGGACGAAGGCCUUCGGGUUGUAAACCUCUUUUAGCAGGGAAGAAGCGAAAGUGACGGUACCUGCAGAAAAAGCACCGGCUAACUACGUGCCAGCAGCCGCGGUAAUACGUAGGGUGCAAGCGUUGUCCGGAAUUAUUGGGCGUAAAGAGCUCGUAGGCGGUUUGUCACGUCUGCUGUGAAAUUUCGAGGCUCAACCUCGAACUUGCAGUGGGUACGGGCAGGCUAGAGUGCGGUAGGGGAGAUGGGAAUUCCUGGUGUAGCGGUGGAAUGCGCAGAUAUCAGGAGGAACACCAAUGGCGAAGGCACAUCUCUGGGCCGUAACUGACGCUGAGGAGCGAAAGCAUGGGGAGCAAACAGGAUUAGAUACCCUGGUAGUCCAUGCCGUAAACGGUGGGUGCUAGCUGUGGGCCACAUUCCACGUGGUCCGUGACGAAGUUAACACAUUAAGCACC